rnacentral:rRNA from 1 species
UACGUAGGGUGCAAGCGUUGUCCGGAAUUAUUGGGCGUAACGCGCACGUAGGCGGAUUGUUAAGUCAGGGGUGAAAUCCCGGAGCUCAACUCCGGAACUGCCUUUGAUACUGGCAAUCUAGAGUCCGGAAUAGGUGAGUGGAACUCCUAGUGUAGAGGUGGAAUUCGUAGAUAUUAGGAAGAACACCAGUGGCGAAGGCGGCUCACUGGUCCGGUACUGACGCUGAGGUGCGAAAGCGUGGGGAGCAAACAGG